rnacentral:rRNA from 1 species
AUUGAACGCUGGCGGCAGGCCUAACACAUGCAAGUCGAGCGGAGCGGCGGACGGGUGAGUAAUGGUUAGGAAUCUGCCUGGUAGUGGGGGAUAACGUCCGGAAACGGGCGCUGAUACCGCAUACUAUCAGAUUAGCCUAUGUCGGAUUCGCGAUUUGGUGGGGUAAAGGCCUACCCGGGCGCCGAUCCGUAACUGGUCUGAGAGGAUGAUGAGUCCCACUGGAACUGAGACACGGUCCAGACUCCUACGGGAGGCAGCAGUGGGGAAUAUUGGACAAUGGGCGAAAGCCUUAUGCAGCCAUGCCGCGGGUGUGAAGAAGGUCUUCGGGUUGUAAAGCACUUUAAGUUGGGAGGCGUUACUCGCAGAAUAAGCACCGGCUAACUUCGUGCCAGCAGCCGCGGUAAUAC